rnacentral:rRNA from 1 species
GACGAACGCUGGCGGCGGGCUUAACACAUGCAAGUCGAACGGAAAGGCCCCUUUGGCGGUACUCGAGUGGCGAACGGGGGAGUAACACGUGAGUAACCUGCCCUGGUCUUCGGGGUAACCUCAGGAAACUGGGGCUAAUACCCGAUAGCGAUCCGUGCUGCAUGGUGGGGGUUGGAAAGCUUCCGCGCUUUUGGAUGGACUCGUGGCUUAUCAGCUUGUUGGUGGGGUAGUGGCUUACCAAGGCUUUGACGGGUAGCGGGCCUGAGAGGGCGACCGGCCACACUGGGACCGAGAGGAGGCACAGAUUGCUAAGGGUGGAAGCAGUGGGGAAUAUUGAACAAUGGGCGGCAGCCUGAUGCAGAAAGGCCGCGGGCGGGAUGACGCCCUUAGGGUUGUAAACCGCUUUCAGCAGGGGAGAAGGUUGUGGUGACGGUACCUGCAGAAGAAGCACCGGCUAACUACGUG